rnacentral:tRNA from 1 species
ACGUUGAUGAUUUGGUGGCAGAGUUCUUGCCUUCCAUGUGAGAGACUCAGGUUUGAUUCCUGGUCAACAUA